CCCAGGUUAGCUCCGUUGGUAGAGCGCUCCACCUGUGAUGGAGAGGUCCCCAGUUCAAUACCUGGACCAGGCG
rnacentral:tRNA from 1 species